GACGAACGCUGGCGGCGUGCUUAACACAUGCAAGUCGAACGGUAAGGCCCUUCGGGGUACACGAGUGGCGAACGGGUGAGUAACACGUGGGUGAUCUGCCCUGCACUUUGGGAUAAGCCUGGGAAACCGGGUCUAAUACCGGAUAGGACCACUGCCUGCAUGGGUGGUGGUGGAAAGAUUUUGCGGUGUGGGAUGGGCCCGCGGCCUAUCAGCUUGUUGGUGGGGUGAUGGCCUACCAAGGCGACGACGGGUAGCCGGCCUGAGAGGGUGACCGGCCACACUGGGACUGAGAUACGGCCCAGACUCCUACGGGAGGCAGCAGUGGGGAAUAUUGCACAAUGGGCGCAAGCCUGAUGCAGCGACGCCGCGUGAGGGAUGACGGCCUUCGGGUUGUAAACCUCUUUCAGCACCGACGAAGCGCAAGUGACGGUAGGUGCAGAAGAAGGACCGGCCAACUACGUGCCAGCCGCCGCGGUAA
rnacentral:rRNA from 1 species